rnacentral:rRNA from 1 species
AGCGAACGCUGGCGGCAUGCUUAACACAUGCAAGUCGCACGGGCAGCAAUGUCUGUGGCGGACGGGUGAGUAACGCGUAGGAACGUGUCCUGAGGUGGGGGACAACCCCGGGAGACUGGGGCUAAUACCGCAUAUGGGCUGAGGCCCAAAGCCGAGGGGCGCCUUUGGAGGGGCCUGCGUCCGAUUAGGUAGUUGGUGGGGUAAAGGCCUACCACGCCUUCGAUCGGUAGAUGGUCUGAGAGGACGACCAGCGACACUGGGAGUGAGACACGGUCCAGACUCCUACGGGAGGCGGGAGAGGGGGAUAUAGGAAAAUGGGGGGAAGGAUGAUGCAGCAAGGACGGGUGGGUGCAGAAGGUCUUCGGAUCGUAAAGCACGUUCAAAGGGGACGGUGAUGACGGUACCCGUAGAAGAAGCACCGGCUAACUUCGUG